rnacentral:lncRNA from 1 species
CCAACUAAAUUUUCAUUCAUGCAUUCUACCAUACAGAUGAUAGGCAUUUCACGAUACUUCCCAAAUAAUAAUAUCUUUAAUCGAACAGCUCAUUUCCAAAUAAAUAUUCAUCCCUAGAAAUUACCACUUUAACACUUAAAGAAAGUAAAAAAGAAAGAAGAGAAGGCUAUUGAUUGGAAUUCUACCUGGUCAAUAAAUAAUAGCGACAAUACGAAAAUACAAGAGUGAAUAAGACUGCAGAAACUAAGCACUGAAAUGGAAAAGCUAAAAUUAUGGAUGUAACUUUUGGCAUUCAAGUAUCUUUUUGUUUACAGAAUGAAAAAAGCUGAAAUUGUGGAAUAUUGUUGACCCAUAGGUC